rnacentral:rRNA from 2 species
GAACGCUGGCGGCGUGCCUAAUACAUGCAAGUCGAACGAACUCUGGUAUUGAUUGGUGCUUGCAUCAUGAUUUACAUUUGAGUGAGUGGCGAACUGGUGAGUAACACGUGGGAAACCUGCCCAGAAGCGGGGGAUAACACCUGGAAACAGAUGCUAAUACCGCAUAACAACUUGGACCGCAUGGUCCGAGUUUGAAAGAUGGCUUCGGCUAUCACUUUUGGAUGGUCCCGCGGCGUAUUAGCUAGAUGGUGGGGUAACGGCUCACCAUGGCAAUGAUACGUAGCCGACCUGAGAGGGUAAUCGGCCACAUUGGGACUGAGACACGGCCCAAACUCCUACGGGAGGCAGCAGUAGGGAAUCUUCCACAAUGGACGAAAGUCUGAUGGAGCAACGCCGCGUGAGUGAAGAAGGGUUUCGGCUCGUAAAACUCUGUUGUUAAAGAAGAACAUAUCUGAGAGUAACUGUUCAGGUAUUGACGGUAUUUAACCAGAAAGCCACGGCUAACUACGUGCCAGCAGCCGCGGUAAUACGUAGGUGGCAAGCGUUGUCCGGAUUUAUUGGGCGUAAAGCGAGCGCAGGCGGUUUUUUAAGUCUGAUGUGAAAGCCUUCGGCUCAACCGAAGAAGUGCAUCGGAAACUGGGAAACUUGAGUGCAGAAGAGGACAGUGGAACUCCAUGUGUAGCGGUGAAAUGCGUAGAUAUAUGGAAGAACACCAGUGGCGAAGGCGGCUGUCUGGUCUGUAACUGACGCUGAGGCUCGAAAGUAUGGGUAGCAAACAGGAUUAGAUACCCUGGUAGUCCAUACCGUAAACGAUGAAUGCUAAGUGUUGGAGGGUUUCCGCCCUUCAGUGCUGCAGCUAACGCAUUAAGCAUUCCGCCUGGGGAGUACGGCCGCAAGGCUGAAACUCAAAGGAAUUGACGGGGGCCCGCACAAGCGGUGGAGCAUGUGGUUUAAUUCGAAGCUACGCGAAGAACCUUACCAGGUCUUGACAUACUAUGCAAAUCUAAGAGAUUAGACGUUCCCUUCGGGGACAUGGAUACAGGUGGUGCAUGGUUGUCGUCAGCUCGUGUCGUGAGAUGUUGGGUUAAGUCCCGCAACGAGCGCAACCCUUAUUAUCAGUUGCCAGCAUUAAGUUGGGCACUCUGGUGAGACUGCCGGUGACAAACCGGAGGAAGGUGGGGAUGACGUCAAAUCAUCAUGCCCCUUAUGACCUGGGCUACACACGUGCUACAAUGGAUGGUACAACGAGUUGCGAACUCGCGAGAGUAAGCUAAUCUCUUAAAGCCAUUCUCAGUUCGGAUUGUAGGCUGCAACUCGCCUACAUGAAGUCGGAAUCGCUAGUAAUCGCGGAUCAGCAUGCCGCGGUGAAUACGUUCCCGGGCCUUGUACACACCGCCCGUCACACCAUGAGAGUUUGUAACACCCAAAGUCGGUGGGGUAACCUUUUAGGAACCAGCCGCCUAAGGUGGGACAGAUGAUUAGGGUGAAGU